GGGUUGUGAGGUUAAGCGACUAAGCGUACACGGUGGAUGCCCUGGCAGUCAGAGGCGAUGAAGGACGUGCUAAUCUGCGAAAAGCGUCGGUAAGGUGAUAUGAACCGUUAUAACCGGCGAUGUCCGAAUGGGGAAACCCAGUGUGAUUCGUCACACUAUCGUUAACUGAAUACAUAGGUUAACGAGGCGAACCGGGGGAACUGAAACAUCUAAGUACCCCGAGGAAAAGAAAUCAACCGAGAUUCCCCCAGUAGCGGCGAGCGAACGGGGAGCAGCCCAGAGUCUGAAUCAGCUUGUGUGUUAGUGGAACGGUCUGGAAAGUCCGACGGUACAGGGUGAUAGUCCCGUACACCAAAAUGCACAGGUUGUGAACUCGAAGAGUAGGGCGGGACACGUGGUAUCCUGUCUGAAUAUGGGGGACCAUCCUCCAAGGCUAAAUACUCCUGACUGACCGAUAGUGAACCAGUACCGUGAGGGAAAGGCGAAAAGAACCCCGGCGAGGGGAGUGAAAAAGAACCUGAAACCGUGUACGUACAAGCAGUGGGAGCACCUUCGGGUGUGACUGCGUACCUUUUGUAUAAUGGGUCAGCGACUUAUAUUCUGUAGCAAGGUUAACCGUAUAGGGGAGCCGCAGGGAAACCGAGUCUUAACUGGGCGUUAAGUUGCAGGGUAUAGACCCGAAACCCGGUGAUCUAGCCAUGGGCAGGUUGAAGGUUGGGUAACACUAACUGGAGGACCGAACCGACUAAUGUUGAAAAAUUAGCGGAUGACUUGUGGCUGGGGGUGAAAGGCCAAUCAAACCGGGAGAUAGCUGGUUCUCCCCGAAAGCUAUUUAGGUAGCGCCUCGUGAAUUCAUCUUCGGGGGUAGAGCACUGUUUCGGCUAGGGGGUCAUCCCGACUUACCAACCCGAUGCAAACUACGAAUACCGAAGAAUGUUAUCACGGGAGACACACGGCGGGUGCUAACGUCCGUCGUGAAGAGGGAAACAACCCAGACCGCCAGCUAAGGUCCCAAAGUCAUGGUUAAGUGGGAAACGAUGUGGGAAGGCACAGACAGCCAGGAUGUUGGCUUAGAAGCAGCCAUCAUUUAAAGAAAGCGUAAUAGCUCACUGGUCGAGUCGGCCUGCGCGGAAGAUGUAACGGGGCUAAACCAUGCACCGAAGCUGCGGCAGCGACACUAUGUGUUGUUGGGUAGGGGAGCGUUCUGUAAGCCUGCGAAGGUGACCUGUGAGGGUUGCUGGAGGUAUCAGAAGUGCGAAUGCUGACAUAAGUAACGAUAAAGCGGGUGAAAAGCCCGCUCGCCGGAAGACCAAGGGUUCCUGUCCAACGUUAAUCGGGGCAGGGUGAGUCGACCCCUAAGGCGAGGCCGAAAGGCGUAGUCGAUGGGAAACAGGUUAAUAUUCCUGUACUUGGUGUUACUGCGAAGGGGGGACGGAGAAGGCUAUGUUAGCCGGGCGACGGUUGUCCCGGUUUAAGCAUGUAGGCUGAUUGUCCAGGCAAAUCCGGAUAAUCAAGGCUGAGGUGUGAUGACGAGGCACUACGGUGCUGAAGUAACAAAUGCCCUGCUUCCAGGAAAAGCCUCUAAGCAUCAGGUAACAUCAAAUCGUACCCCAAACCGACACAGGUGGUCAGGUAGAGAAUACCAAGGCGCUUGAGAGAACUCGGGUGAAGGAACUAGGCAAAAUGGUGCCGUAACUUCGGGAGAAGGCACGCUGGUGUGUAGGUGAAGUCCCUGCGGAUGGAGCUGAGACCAGUCGAAGAUACCAGCUGGCUGCAACUGUUUAUUAAAAACACAGCACUGUGCAAACACGAAAGUGGACGUAUACGGUGUGACGCCUGCCCGGUGCCGGAAGGUUAAUUGAUGGGGUUAUCCGUAAGGAGAAGCUCUUGAUCGAAGCCCCGGUAAACGGCGGCCGUAACUAUAACGGUCCUAAGGUAGCGAAAUUCCUUGUCGGGUAAGUUCCGACCUGCACGAAUGGCGUAAUGAUGGCCAGGCUGUCUCCACCCGAGACUCAGUGAAAUUGAACUCGCUGUGAAGAUGCAGUGUACCCGCGGCAAGACGGAAAGACCCCGUGAACCUUUACUAUAGCUUGACACUGAACAUUGAGCCUUGAUGUGUAGGAUAGGUGGGAGGCUUUGAAGCGUGGACGCCAGUCUGCGUGGAGCCAACCUUGAAAUACCACCCUUUAAUGUUUGAUGUUCUAACGUUGGCCCCUUACCGGGGUUGCGGACAGUGUCUGGUGGGUAGUUUGACUGGGGCGGUCUCCUCCCAAAGCGUAACGGAGGAGCACGAAGGUUAGCUAAUCCUGGUCGGACAUCAGGAGGUUAGUGCAAUGGCAUAAGCUAGCUUGACUGCGAGCGUGACGGCGCGAGCAGGUGCGAAAGCAGGUCAUAGUGAUCCGGUGGUUCUGAAUGGAAGGGCCAUCGCUCAACGGAUAAAAGGUACUCCGGGGAUAACAGGCUGAUACCGCCCAAGAGUUCAUAUCGACGGCGGUGUUUGGCACCUCGAUGUCGGCUCAUCACAUCCUGGGGCUGAAGUAGGUCCCAAGGGUAUGGCUGUUCGCCAUUUAAAGUGGUACGCGAGCUGGGUUUAGAACGUCGUGAGACAGUUCGGUCCCUAUCUGCCGUGGGCGCUGGAGAAUUGAGGGGGGCUGCUCCUAGUACGAGAGGACCGGAGUGGACGCAUCACUGGUGUUCGGGUUGUCAUGCCAAUGGCACUGCCCGGUAGCUAAAUGCGGAAGAGAUAAGUGCUGAAAGCAUCUAAGCACGAAACUUGCCCCGAGAUGAGUUCUCCCUGAGACUUUAAGUCUCCUGAAGGAACGUUGAAGACGACGACGUUGAUAGGCCGGGUGUGUAAGCGCAGCGAUGCGUUGAGCUAACCGGUACUAAUGAACCGUGAGGCUUAACCUUACAACGCCGAAG
rnacentral:rRNA from 1 species